ACGAACGUUGGCGGCGUGGAUUAGGCAUGCAAGUCAAACGCGGAACCGUAGCAAUACGGGGAGAGUGGCGAAAGGGGCAGUAAUGCCAUGGGUAAUCUACCCCGGGGACGUGGAUAGCCAUCCUAACGGGUGGGUAAUACACGGCGAUUCGGCGAGGAGACAUCUCUUUGCCGGAAAUGAAUUUCGCCUCGGGAGGAACUCAUGUCGUAUUAGCUUGUCUGGCGGUGGUAACGGCCCACCAAGGCAAAGAUGCCGUAGCGGGUGUGAGAGCAAUUAGCACGACCUGCGCCACUGGCACUGAGACACUGGCCAGACACCUACGGGAGGGCUGCAGUCGAGGAUCUUCGGCCAUGAAUGGGCGCAAGCCUGACGCGAGCGACGGCCGCGUGUGCGACUGAAGGCCUUCGGGUUGUAAAGCACUGUCGAGGUGGGAAGGAAAGCCGCAAGGGUCUGACCUAUCCCUGGAAGGAAGCACGGGCCUAAGUUCGUGCCAGCAGCCGCGGUAAGUACGAACCGUUGCGAACGUUGUUCGGAAUCACUGGGCUUAAAGGGCGCGUAGGCGGCAGUCCAAAGUCAGGGGUGAAAGUCCUCCGGCUUAAUCCGGAGAAACUGCCUGUGAUACUGGACUCCGGAGUGAGGUAGGUGGGCAUGCGAAACGUUCGGGUGGAGCGAGUGAAAGUGCGUAGAUAUCGGAAGGUAACACCGGUGGCGAAGCGGCGUGCUGGACCUUCACUGACGCUGAGGCGCGAAAGCCAGGGGGAGCAAACGGGAUUAGAUACCUCCCGUAGUCCUGGCCCUAAACUAUUGGUACUAGACUGUAGGCUGAACAUGGUUUACAGUCGAAGCAACAGUGCUAAGUAGCCCCGCCUGGCGGAGUAAUGGUCGCCAAGGCUGAAACUCAAAGGAAUGUGAACGGGGCUCACACAAGCGGUGGAGCAUGUGGCUUAAUCUGCGAGGCUACGCGAAGAACCUUAUCCUAGCUUGACAUGUGCGAAAGCGGUAGGAAGUAGGGAGCGGAAACGUUUCCCCAACGGUAUCCAGUCCGGAACCUACUACAGGUGUUCUGCAUGGCUUUCGUCAGCUUCGUGUCGUGAGAUGUUGGGUUAAGUCCCCUAACGAGCGAAACCCUUGUCUACAGUUGCCAGCGGGUCAUGCCGGGGACUCUGUAGAGACUGCCGUUGUUAAACCGGAGGAAGGUGGGGAUGACGUCAAGUCCUCAUGGCCUUUAUGCCUAGGGCUGCACACGUGCUACAAUGCCGAGAACAAAGGGAUGCCAACUCGCAAGAGGGAGCCAAUCCCAAAAAACUCGGCCCAGUUCAGAUUGGAGGCUGCAACUUCGCCUUCAUGAAGUUGGAAUCGCUAGUAAUCGCAGGUCAGCAACACUGCGGUGAAUGUGUUCCUGAGCCUUGUACACACGCCCGUCAAGCCACGAAAGGAAGGAGCGCCCGAAGUCACUACACUAAGCUGGUGCCGAAGGCGAAACUUCUGAUUGGGACU
rnacentral:rRNA from 1 species